rnacentral:tRNA from 1 species
GGAGAGGUGCCGGAGUGGUCGAACGGGGCGGUCUCGAAAACCGUUGACCCUGCAAGGGGUCCCAGGGUUCGAAUCCCUGUCUCUCCG